UAAUACGGAGGGUGCAAGCGUUAUCCGGAUUCACUGGGUUUAAAGGGUGCGUAGGUGGGCUAGUAAGUCCGUGGUGAAAUCUCCAAGCUUAACUUGGAAACUGCCGUGGAUACUAUUAGUCUUGAAUAUUGUGGAGGUAAGCGGAAUAUGUCAUGUAGCGGUGAAAUGCUUAGAUAUGACAUAGAACACCGAUAGCGAAGGCAGCUUGCUACACAAUCAUUGACACUGAGGCACGAAAGCGUGGGGAUCAAACAGGAUUAGAUACCCUGGUAGUCCACGCCCUAAACGAUGGAUACUCGACAUACGCGAUACACAGUGUGUGUCUGAGCGAAAGCAUUAAGUAUCCCACCUGGGAAGUACGAUCGCAAGAUU
rnacentral:rRNA from 1 species